GUUUUCGAAGAGGUCAAAGUCGGUCAAUGUCGUAACAUACAAAGGGAACAAAGAUAUUCGGGCUGCUGUUAUAGAUUCAAAAUAUCAAGUCCUUUUAUCUUCACCGGAUGCCAUUGUUGAGGACAUGGAAAUGUUUGACCAUAAGUGGGAAUUGUUAGUGAUAGACGAGUGUCAAAGCCCCGUAUUUUCAACGCACUUUAAGGAAAUUCGGAUGCUUAUGGCUGAUAU
rnacentral:lncRNA from 1 species